GGGUGUGUAGCUCAGUUGGUAGAGCAAUUGACUCUUAAUCAAUGGGUCCAGGGUUCGAGUCCCUGCACUCCCA
rnacentral:tRNA from 1 species